UAAUACGUAGGGGGCGAGCGUUGUCCGGAGUUACUGGGCGUAAAGCGCAUGCAGGCGGUCCUGUAAGUUUGGAGUGACAGUUUCCGGCUCAACUGGGAAAGUGCUUUGAAAACUGCGGGACUUGAGGGCUUCAGAGGGACACGGAAUUCCGGGUGGAGUGGUGAAAUGCGUAGAUAUCCGGAGGAACACCGAAGGCGAAGGCAGUGUCCUGGGGAGCACCUGACGCUCAGAUGCGAAAGCCAGGGGAGCGAACGGGAUUAGAUACCCCGGUAGUCCUGGCCGUAAACGAUGACCACUAGAUGUGUGGGGUAUCGACCCCCUACGUGUCGUAAGCUAACGCGAUAAGUGGUCCGCCUGGGGAGUACGGUCGCAAGAUUA
rnacentral:rRNA from 1 species